rnacentral:lncRNA from 1 species
UACUUCAUGUAAUUAACUAUCAUGUUGUUAUAUUUGGAUUCCUUAUUGUGUUCAUGGAAUUUGUGGUACUUGUUUAUAUGAUUUUUAUGGAAGUAUAAUAAAUAAUGGCUGUGAAAAUUUAGGAAAGUGUUAUACCAUCUUGAAUAUAAACAUUAAAGUUAAGUGGUCUGAUUUCAGUUUUCUAAUUAUAGUUUAUGCUUAAAAAUGGAACUUUGUGGAUGCCUUCAAUUUUUAAACAUGUUCUAACCAUCUACAAAGAAGUACUGACUUGUCGGGAACUAAGGAUGCUACAUAUUGUUACACUAACAAUUUGACAAUUGGAUCUGGUUCCUCUCGUCUUGGAACAGCAGCAACUAUUAAAGGGGAUACAGAUACUGCUAAGACUUCUGAUGAUAUCAGUUUAAGUCUGGGCCAGAGCUCCAGUCUCUGUAAAGAAGGAAGCGAGGAGCAAGGUAAGAACUUUGUGCUUCACAGUGACACUGUAUAUUGUGGUGACCAGAGUGAAUCUGUGGAAUAUGUCACUCACAUUUUGAGAGAAAUUUAAUAUAGUUACUUUUAGGAAACAUUAAAAUGUCUUAUUGGUAUAAUAGCUUCAAAAGUACUUUUACUGAAUUCAGUUAUAUAUGUUCUGGCAAAUAAACAUGGAGA